AGCUCUCUCCCGAAGUCAUGGUGGCAGAAAUAGAACGCGCAAGAGGAAUUGGGGGAAGAAUUUCGAAUCUCCAGAUCUGAAGUCAAUACCCACUUUUUCCCGAAGAAGCGCAACGAACUCGUCAAUCACACAAGCUGGAGGAAUUUCGAAGCAAGCGCGCCGUUGAUACAAAGAAGCGUUUUCAAGAAUCGAAGAGUCAAAGCUCC
rnacentral:lncRNA from 1 species